GAUGAACGCUGGCGGCGUGCCUAAUACAUGCAAGUCGAGCGAACAGAUAAGGAGCUUGCUCCUUUGACGUUAGCGGCGGACGGGUGGGUAACACGUGGGUAACCUACCUAUAAGACUGGGAUAACUUCGGGAAACCGGAGCUAAUACCGGAUAACAUUUGGAACCGCAUGGUUCUAAAGUGAAAGAUGGUUUUGCUAUCACUUAUAGAUGGACCCGCGCCGUAUUAGCUAGUUGGUAAGGUAACGGCUUACCAAGGCAACGAUACGUAGCCGACCUGAGAGGGUGAUCGGCCACACUGGAACUGAGGCACGGUCCAGACUCCUACGGGAGGCAGCAGUAGGGAAUCUUCCGCAAUGGGCGAAAGCCUGACGGAGCAACGCCGCGUGAGUGAUGAAGGGUUUCGGCUCGUAAAACUCUGUUAUUAGGGAAGAACAAACGUGUAAGUAACUGUGCACGUCUUGACGGUACCUAAUCAGAAAGCCACGGCUAACUACGUG
rnacentral:rRNA from 1 species